rnacentral:rRNA from 1 species
GACGAACGCUGGCGGCGCGCUUAACACAUGCAAGUCGAGCGAGAACCAGGCCUUCGGGCCUGGGGAAAGCGGCGAACGGGUGAGUAACACGUGGGUAACCCACCCUUGGUACCGGGAUAGCCCGAGGAAACUACGGAUUAAUACCGGAUGGCCCAACAGCUUUUCGGAGCGGUUGGAAAAGGUAGCUUCGGCCUCCGACCAAGGACGGGCCCGCGCGGAUUAGCUUGUUGGUGAGGUAACGGCCCACCAAGGCGACGAUCCGUAGC